UAUUACCGCGGCUGCUGGAAGCUCAAAUCGACAAGGAGCGCCGCCGUAAGACGCCGACGCACCCCGAGGAAUGGCAACAAAACUGGUUCAGCCUCUCGGUCGAGCAGUGGGAGAUUGAAACAGCACUUCGCGCUGGGCAAGUUAGAAAAUGCAAGCAAGAACUAUGCCUUUCGGGGGUUCUUGAGGAAGCCACCCAGACCUGGCCCCGCAAACGGCAAUUCGUUCGCGUGGACUUGGCCGCGCUGAGUCAGGUGCUGGUCAAUGUGCUGAGCGAACAGCGAGCCGCUGUCUCGUCGCCAGCAGCCGCGGUAAUA
rnacentral:rRNA from 1 species